rnacentral:rRNA from 1 species
AUUGAACGCUGGCGGCAGGCCUAACACAUGCAAGUCGAGCGGAGCGGCGGACGGGCGAGUAAGGAAUAGGAAUCUGCCUGGUAGAGGGGGGUAGCGUCCGGCAACGGGCGCUAAUUCAGACCACUUUCAGUUGAGCCUAGGUCGGUUUAGCUAGUUGGUGGGGUAAAGGCCUACCAAGGCGACGAUCCGUAGCUGGUCUGAGAGGAUGAUCAGUCACACUGGAACUGAGACACGGUCCAGACUCCUACGGGAGGCAGCAGUGGGGAAUAUUGGACAAUGGGCGAAAGCCUGAUGCAGCCAUGCCGCGUGUGUGAAGAAGGUCUUCGGAUUGUAAAGCACUUUAAGUUGGGAGGCGUUACCAACAGAAUAAGCACCGGCUAACUUCGUGCCAGCAGCCGCGGUAAUAC